AUUGAACGCUGGCGGCAGGCCUAACACAUGCAAGUCGAACGAGUGGCGGACGGGUGAGUAAUGUCUGGGAAACUGCCUGAUGGAGGGGGAUAACUACUGGAAACGGUAGCUAAUACCGCAUACCAUCAGAUGUGCCCAGAUGGGAUUAGCUAGCAGGUGGGGUAACGGCUCACCUAGGCGACGAUCCCUAGCUGGUCUGAGAGGAUGACCAGCCACGCGGGGACUGAGACACGGUCCAGGCGCCUACGGGGGGCAGCAGGGGGGAAUAUUGCACAAGGGGCGCAAGCCUGAUGCAGACAUGCCGGGUGUGUGAAGAAGGCCUUCGGGUUGUAAAGCACUUUCAGCGGGGAGGCGUUAGCCGCAGAAGAAGCACCGGCUAACUCCGUGCCAGCCGCCGCGGUAAUA
rnacentral:rRNA from 1 species